CCUACGGGGGGCAGCAGUGAGGAAUAUUGGUCAAUGGGCGUAAGCCUGAACCAGCCAAGUCGCGUGAGGGAUGAAGGUUCUAUGGAUCGUAAACCUCUUUUAUAAGGGAAUAAAGUGUGGGACGUGUCCUAUUUUGUAUGUACCUUAUGAAUAAGGAUCGGCUAACUCCGUGCCAGCAGCCGCGGUAAUACGGAGGAUGCGAGCGUUAUCCGGAUUUAUUGGGUUUAAAGGGUGCGCAGGCGGAAUGUCAAGUCAGCGGUAAAAUUUCGGGGCUCAACCCCGUCGUGCCGUUGAAACUGGCGUUCUUGAGUGAGCGAGAAGUAUGCGGAAUGCGUGGUGUAGCGGUGAAAUGCAUAGAUAUCACGCAGAACUCCGAUUGCGAAGGCAGCAUACCGGCGCUCAACUGACGCUCAUGCACGAAAGCGUGGGUAUCGAACAGGAUUAGAUACCCUAGUAGUC
rnacentral:rRNA from 1 species